rnacentral:rRNA from 1 species
GCUUACGCCAUACCAACCUGGCUAUGCCCGAUCUCGUCUGAUCUCGGAAGCUAAGCAGGUUUGGGCCUGGUUAGUACUUGGAUGAGAGGACCGCCUGGGGAAAUACGGGUGCUGGUAAGCU